rnacentral:rRNA from 1 species
UACGGGGGAUGCAAGCGUUAUCCGGAUUUAUUGGGUUUAAAGGGUGCGUAGGCUGUGAGGUAAGUCAGCGGUGAAAUGCCCCCGCUCAACGGGGUGAAGUGCCAUUGAUACUGCCUUGCUGGAAUGCGGAUGCCGUGGGAGGAAUGUGUGGUGUAGCGGUGAAAUGCAUAGAUAUCAGGAGGAACACCGGCGGCGAAGGCGGCCUGCUGGACUGAAACUGACGUUGAGGCUCGAAAGCGUGGGGAGCAAACAGG